rnacentral:rRNA from 1 species
GGGCCCGCACAAGCGGAGGAACAUGUGGUUUAAUUCGAUGAUACGCGAGGAACCUUACCCGGGUUUAAAUGGUGAGUGACAGAGGCAGAGAUGCCUUUUUCUUCGGACACUCAUCAAGGUGCUGCAUGGUUGUCGUCAGCUCGUGCCGUGAGGUGUCGGGUUAAGUCCCAUAACGAGCGCAACCCACGUUGUCAGUUACCAGCAUGUAAAGAUGGGGACUCUGGCAAGACUGCCGGUGUAAACCGCGAGGAAGGUGUGGAUGACGUCAAAUCAGCACGGCCCUUACAUCCGGGGCUACACACGUGUUACAAUGGCCGGUACAGAGGGCAGCUACACCGCGAGGUGGUGCGAAUCCCAUAAAACCGGUCCCAGUUCGGAUCGGAGUCUGCAACCCGACUCCGUGAAGCUGGAUUCGCUAGUAAUCGCGCAUCAGCCAUGGCGCGGUGAAUACGUUCCCGGGCCUU